rnacentral:rRNA from 1 species
UACAGGGGGUGCAACCGUUGCUCGGAAUCAUUGGGCGUAAAGCGCACGUAGGCGGUUCGUUAUGUCGGAUGUGAAAGCCCUUGGCUUAACCGAGGAAGUGCAUCCGAAACUGGCGAGCUAGAGUACGAAAGAGGAUCGCGGAAUUCCCGGUGUAGAGGUGAAAUUCGUAGAUAUCGGGAGGAACACCGGUGGCGAAGGCGGGUCUCUGGGCCGAUACUGACGCUGAGGAGCGAAAGCGUGGGGAGCGAACAGG